rnacentral:rRNA from 1 species
CCUACGGGUGGCAGCAGUGAGGAAUAUUGGUCAAUGGCCGCAAGGCUGAACCAGCCAAGCCGCGUGAAGGAAGAAGGUGCCAAGCAUUGUAAACUUCUUUUGUCAAGGGGCAAAAUCAGACUCGAGAGCCUGACCGAGGGUACUUGAAGAACAAGCAUCGGCUAACUCCGUGCCAGCAGCCGCGGUAAUACGGAGGAUGCGAGCGUUAUCCGGAUUUAUUGGGUUUAAAGGGUGCUUAGGCGGACUGUUAAGUCAGCGGUAAAAGCCCGGGGUUCAACCCCGGCGUGCCGUUGAUACUGGUUGGCUUGAGAUGUGGAGAGGUAGGCGGAAUGUGGAGUGUAGCGGUGAAAUGCUUAGAUAUUGCGCAGAACUCCGAUUGCGAAGGCAGCAUACCGGCGGCGAUCUGACGCUGAGGCACGAAAGCGUGGGUAUCGAACAGGAUUAGAUACCCUAGUAGUC